GCCCGCUUAGCUCAGUGGUAGAGCGCGCCACUCGUAUGUUCCAAACCUGCUUAUAUGUAUUGGAAAUGGUGAGGUCGGUUGUUCAAUCCAGCCAGUGGGCA